rnacentral:rRNA from 1 species
UACAGGGGGGGCAAGCGUUGUUCGGAAUUACUGGGCGUAAAGGGUCUGUAGGUGGCCAACUAAGUCAGACGUGAAAUCCCUCGGCUUAACCGAGGAACUGCCGUCCAAACUGCUUCGCUUGAGACCGGGAGAGGUGAGUGGAAUUCCCAGUGUAGCGGUGAAAUGCGUAGAUAUUGGGAGGAACACCAGUGGCGAAGGCGGCUCACUGGACCGGUACUGACGCUGAUGCGCGAAAGCGUGGGGAGCAAACGGGGAUUAAGA